UUUCCUUCGGGACAGCAGAGACAGGUGGUGCAUGGUUGUCGUCAGCUCGUGUCGUGAGAUGUUGGGUUAAGUCCCGCAACGAGCGCAACCCUUAUCCUCAGUAGCCAGCAUUACGGAUGGGAACUCUGGGGAGACUGCCGGAGACAAUCCGGAGGAAGGUGGGGAUGACGUCAAAUCAUCAUGCCCCUUAUGACUUGGGCUACACACGUGCUACAAUGGUGGUACCAAAGUGAAGCGACCCCGUGAGGGUGAGCCAACCACAGAAAAGCCAUCUCAGUUCGGAUUGUAGUCUGCAACCCGACUACAUGAAGCUGGAAUCGCUAGUAAUCGCAGAUCAGAAUGCUGCGGUGAAUACGUUCCCGGGUCUUGUACACACCGCCCGUCACACCAUGGGAGUUGGAAAUGCCCGAAGCCAGUGACCCAACCGCAAGGAGGGAGCUGUCGAAGGUGGAGCCGAUGACUGGGGUGAAGUCGUAACAAGGUAGCCGUAUCGGAAGGUGCG
rnacentral:rRNA from 1 species